GUCCCGGUAGUGUUUAACAUGGUCUAGCACGCUAUUCUUCCAAAAUAGAAGUGUGGGUUCAAAUCCCAUUCGGGACU
rnacentral:tRNA from 1 species